UACAGAGGGGGCAAGCGUUGUUCGGAAUUACUGGGCGUAAAGGGCGCGUAGGCGGCCGCCUAAGUCAGACGUGAAAUCCCUCGGCUCAACCGGGGAACUGCGUCUGAUACUGGGUGGCUUGAAUCCGGGAGAGGGAUGCGGAAUUCCAGGUGUAGCGGUGAAAUGCGUAGAUAUCGGGAGGAACACCAGUGGCGAAGGCGCCUUCCUGGCCUGUAACUGACGCUGAUACGCGAAAGCGUGGGGAGCAAACCGG
rnacentral:rRNA from 1 species